UUCUGACAAUUGUUUUCAUACUUUUCUGGACCAUGACAGUGUGACUCACUUGGCAGUCAAUGGGACAGUCACAAGCCUCCUGGUUUUCAUCCAGAAUAUCUUAAAUUGUGUUCUGAAGACGAAUGAAGCUUUUACGGGUUUGGAACAACAUGGAGAGGUUGUUGCAGAGUGGUAUGUGGCGUCGCUCCAAAGAGGGGAACAGAGUAGACGGCAGAUGCUAGUAAAGUCCUAUUGCAGAGCUGUCAUCUGCAGAGCAGGAGCUGCACUAUAGGAGUUUGCCAGGACAUUUUAUUUUUUACAUCAUUUCGAUUAGUCUUUGGUGUUUUGAAAUGAGCUCCACUGAGCUAAUGUACUCAACUCGCUCACUGAGGAGUCUGCAAUGAGGUAGUCAAGACAUGGUUGUCACUUCAAGCUGCUUCGAUCUGCUGUCAAUGGGUCAGAAAUCUAAAGCUGCUGAUUUCAUACCCUGGGAAAAGCUCUGCACAGCAAGACGAGAGGAAUAAAACUAUCAGGGAGUUAUCAGAAGCAUCUUAAUUAAAGUCUUUCAGUGGCAGAAAGUGAUAACAGCUGGGUUAACACGAUCUUGAAAUGCAUAGGCACAGAUUAAUCAGACUUACCAGUUGUGUAUGUCUGAUGCGUCAUUUUAACAAUGAUCCCUAGAAGUCAUUAAAAGUAAAUCUCACCAUAUGAGUCUGGCAAAAAACUUUAAUAUUUCUGUACUUUGGCUCUGAACAUGCGUGUCACAAUUAUCACAUCAUCAAAAAUCCACAUUUGACCAGUAUAUGGUAUCACAGCUGGUUUAUUUGCGAACGUACAUUUGAUGUUCAGAGUCGAGCAGCUGCACAAUUAUCCCUGUUUUAAUCAUCUGCACCCGAAAUAUAUUAUCUCCUCUGUGCAAAGAAGCAUUGACUAAAACAUUACUCAUUACACUGAAACUGAAGCAUGUCCAAAAUCAUAAUGUUCAGUGUCUUAUAAAACAUCUGCCAAUUAUGUCAUCAAAAGCCAUUAGCAAUAUGCACCUCUUUCAUUUUAGUCUAUGAGGCUUUGUACUUCUUUUGUGGCUCGUGAGAUUAAUGGGCUUUUCUAAUAUGCCUUGUGCUAUUGAUUACAUAAAAAUUGGCCAUUCGGGAUUUGAUAGAAAUGCCUUCAGAGGAUUGAGCUUUUUGUAGUUGACAGGAACUUAACAGACUUGGAGGACAAAGUCAGUGUGGUGUCCUGUGUAGUCACCCUCAAUCACAUCUUCAGAUCAGGUUAUUAUUUAUGACGUAGGAACAUAUGGCAAUUACAAACCAUGAGUGCUGAGCCGAUAAGUGCUUUGAAACCGAUCCAAGAUUAGUCUGUUAUUCCAGCCUCCAGCAAGAGCCGGUUAACCACAAAUGCUGCUUUAACUUCGCCUCGAUUUACUUCGCUGCAGUUUACUGUGUAGCAUGGUUAAAUAUUUGAUCUGAUUGCUCUGAUAACCCUGGCAGCAUGAAAAAGCUUUUUUCCUCUCGCCAACUAAAUGAUAAGACUGGUAAAAUUAAUUUGAACCCUGUAGGCAUUU